GCACAGAGUCCUGACCUCAACCCGAUAGAACACCUUUGGGAUGAAUUAGAGCGGAGACUGAGAACCAGGCCUUCUCGUCCAACAUCAGUGUGUGACCUUGCAAAUGCGCUUCUGGAAGAAUGGUCAAAAAUUCCCAUAAACACACUCCUAAACCUUGUGGACAGCCUUCCCAGAAGAGUUGAAGCUGUUAUAGCUGCAAAGGGUGGACCGACGUCAUAUUGAACCCUAUGAAUUAGGAAUGGGAUGUCACUUAAGUUCAUAUGCGAGUCAAGGCAGGUGAGCGAAUACUUUUGGCAAUAUAGUGUAUGUCCUCACUGUGCACUUAAGUGCGUGUGUGUGUGGGUGUUUCUAAAAAAUUGUGUCCCAGAAGGUAGGGUAUUGUGUCAUAUGUCCUCAUUUUGCACUUACGUAUGUGUGUGUGUGUUUCUAAAUAAUUGUGUCCCAGAAGGUAGGGUAUUGAGUCAUAUGUCAUCAUUUUGCACUUAAUUAUACAUGUGUGUAAAAAAAAUUGUGUCCUCAAAAGUAGGGUAUUGAGUCAUAUGUCCUCAUUGUGUGUGUGUGUCCUUCUGUCUGUCUUGAAAGUUGUGUUACCAAAGAUAUGUGUGUGUUUCUAAAAAAAAAUUGUCCCAGAAGGUAGGAUAUUGAGUCAUAUGUCUUCAUAGUGCACUUAAUUAUACAUGUGUGUAAAAAAUUUGUGUCCUCAAAAGUAGGGUAUUGAGUCAUAUGUCCUCAUUGUGUGUGUGUGUGUGUGUGUAGUGCUCAUGAUGGCUGAAGAUGGCUUUCUGUUCACUUCAUACAGUAUGACAUCAUAACUGAUGUAUAUAUAUUAUAAAUGCAAAUAGAUACGGUGUUGAGUUAAUUAUGUAAAUAUCACCCAUGAAGGACUUCUUACCUCUUCCUAUGUCUCAUGAUUCAGUGAAGGAAGAUUAUUCUUACAUCCUGUAAAUACAGCACUAAAUCUUGUCAAUGCCGCAUUUACAGGGACUUCUAUGGCGGACGUAUUCUACGAAGAAAUAAUCAAAUAUCUUUUAGAAGAUGUUUAUGUAACAUUGAUGGAAGGAGUCUCCAGUGUUUAUAACAAUCUGAUAUUAAAAGACAGAGGAGAGAUUUCAGCACAGAGUUUGUACUUUUAAGAUUCUUGCCUUGCUUCUACAAUUCAUAGGCUAGAUGUUUCCUACAUCAGUUAAAAAGCGUUCAGUAAUAAAUUAAAAGCUGGGAUCACUGGCAGAUCGCUGUACUGUAAGUGAAAUAACACACUUGCUGUGAUAGGAAAAUACUCCACGUUGCAUCACUAUCACAUCAUCCUGCAGUGGAUUCUUUUCAUACAUCAGCACUUUCCGUAACGUUUUAUUGCUCAGAUAAUAAUGUGUAUCAUUUACUAUAAUUUGCCUACAACUUUGACUCACCAGCUGCUCCUACUACAAAUUUGACUCAGAUUUGUUUUGCACAAAGCGUGCCUUUUUUUUAGGGAACACUUUACUGCUGCCCCCCUCUUGGGGCUGGGGCUAGUGGUGGUGGUGGGGCGACAUCCUUUUCAGUGUGAGAGAAAAGGAUCUGCAUCCUGCUGCAAACACCUUCCAGAGGCCCCCGGGGUCGUCCUGCAGCUGCAGUACCUUCGGAUCUGUCCGUGGCGAAUCACAAGCGCACUCACCUUCUGUCAGUCACGGGGACGAGGCUCAUGCAUACCGUUGGCUUGUACAGACCCUCAUUUAGAGAGAGAAGAAUGUGGGUCUAUUCCCUCUACGCUUGCGACCUCUGACCUUCUCCAGGAAGCACUCACCUGGACAGCCCUGACCACCUGCCUUGUGUUUUCUUUGUGUCUACACCAGUGUCACACUCUCUCUCUCGCUCUCUCUCUCUCUCUCUCUCUCUCUCAAACAAAGUCAAAGGCCACAUUCAAAUGCGCACAAGGUGUAUUUAAAUUCAUUACAGCCGGUUCUAUUUGCAGGCUCAGAGACAUGAAAAUGUACAGUAAAUAUCUCUUGAGUAAAUGUUUGUAUCUUCAAAGUAAAUGAUGAUAUCAAACCCAUUUCUUUCUCUCUUGUUCAUAGCAUCUAAAAUUUUAUCUUCAACUGAUAAAAUUCUGCAUAAGGAAAACCACAUGUCUCAAACAAGAGUCCUGACUUAUUUUUAUAUCAGAUAAACAUAUUGUUUUUUUUAUACUGAUUGACAAUGUCCCAUAAUUCCAGUUGUAUGCCUAGGUACUAGGUUAAAAGGGUUAAAACCAAGGUCAGCUGAUCCGAUACUUUCUCCUGGACCUUCGUUCUUCUCCAAAGCGCAAACCCUGUCCGUCUUGUACCUGCGCAACCUGCUUAAGCCUGAUUGACUCCGGGACUCUAGUGUCACUGUGCCUGAGGCUUGUCACUCGAGCCUCGGUUCUCACCCCUCAAAACUGCUCAUUGACAUGUUUCACUUCCCCCGCAUACCAGACAGAACACAGGGCAUAUGGACGCAUUAAGGAGUACUCAAUCCAGGCCAUAAAGUAUCCAGACCACACAGAAUGCAGUCUGCAGAUCAGCAAACCUUCAAGCCAUCACUGGUUUUCAUUUUACUGCUAGGGGGAGGAGAGGGAGAUCCCUAGCAGUGAGAGGCCCCAGUUCAUUUAGGAAAGGGCAAUAAACACUAACGUCCGAGUGCAUUAAUUGACCGUUCAUGUGGUAGAGUCAUGAAUCAUUGUUUUGUCGCUGAAGAACAUUAGCACCUUGUUCUGAACUUUAGGGCCAACAGCCAUCCAACACUCAGCACCUUCAGGAUUCAGGAUGCUGGUACUUAUUAGCUCCAUAUCUCAUACUCCGUGAGAUGGUUACAGCUUUUGUAGUUUGGUAUUAAACAAGAAGGAAGUUCUGUUCUAUGGACAAUGGAUAAUGGACACCACGAAGCAACAUGUUCAUGGCUGAAAUUUCUCACUUGCUGGUGAAAAUCUGUGUGUUUCGUUUGCUUAACUCGAAUGUCAGGAGUGUUUGCUUAGCCUCUGGGCAGCUGAGUCUAUACGGAACACAAUGAAUCCAGCCAUCAAGGUUCCUCCUCCAUAAUAACUCUCAUCUGUCUCACUGGAACAGCCUCUAGAGACGAAGACAGACGCUACGCGGUAUAAACUUUAGCACUGUAUUUGGAGGAUGAUGGUUUCUAGAAGAGUUUGAAUGUAAUUUGAUGUCAUUCAGUUCGGUAAAUGGAGGACAGGAGCUGCCACCGGAUUGAAUGGGCUUUCUCUAGACCCCGGUGAUAAUUCGCAGGGCUGUAUUGUGCUGAGGUCUUUGGCUCCAGUGCUGAGGAUCACUCAUUAAUGCAGGAGGUGCUGUGCUCCUAUUGUUGUGCUAAUGAGGCACAGAUGUGGACACCCCAAAC